rnacentral:rRNA from 1 species
GGGGAUUGAGAUACGGCCCAGACUCCUUCGGGAGGCAGCAGUCGAGAAUCUUCCACAAUGGACGAAAGUCUGAUGGAGCGACGCCGCGUGAGGGAUUAAGGCUUUCUGAGUCGUAAACCUCUGUCAGGAGAGAAGAACAGCAUUGUCAUUAAUAUUGGCAUUGUUUGACGUUAUCUCCAGAGGAAGCUCCGGCUAACUCCGUGCCAGCAGCCGCGGUAAUACGGGGGGAGCAAGCGUUGUCCGGAAUCAUUGGGCGUAAAGGGCGUGUAGGUGGUUUUGUAAGUCGAAUGUGAAAUCUCACGGCUCAACCGUGAAAUUGCGUUCGAAACUACAUGACUUGAGUUAGGGAGAGGUGUACGGAAUUCCUGGUGUAGCGGUGGAAUGCGUAGAUAUCAGGAAGAACACCAAUGGCGAAGGCAGUACACUGGCCUGUAACUGACACUGAGGCGCGAAAGCGUGGGGAGCAAACAGGAUUAGAUACCCUGGUAGUCCACGCUGUAAACGAUGGGUACUAGGUUUUGGGGGUCGCAACCCCUUCAGAGCCGUAGCUAACGCGUUAAGUACCCCGCCUGGGGAGUACGAUCGCAAGGUUGAAACUCAAAGGAAUUGACGGGUUCCCGCACAAGCGGUGGAGCAUGUGCUUUAAUUCGAGGCAACGCGAAGAACCUUACCUGGGCUUGACAUGGGAGCUCUCUCUUCGGAGGGGGUUAGCUAUGUGAAAGCAUGGUUAGUCCACACAGGUGUUGCAUGGCUGUCGUCAGCUCGUGUCGUGAGAUGUUCGGUUAAGUCCGGCAACGAGCGCAACCCUCGCUAUCAGUUACCAACGGGUAAUGCCGGGGACUCUGACAGGACUGCCGGUGAUAAACCGGAGGAAGGCGGGGAUGACGUCAAGUCAUUAUGACCCUUACGCCCAGGGCUAGACACGUGCUACAAGGGUCGGUACAAUGAGCAGCGAGACCGCGAGGUGGAGCAAAUCUCAAAAAGCCGGCCCUAGUACGGAUUGGAGUCUGCAACUCGACUCCAUGAAGCUGGAAUCGCUAGUAAUCGCGUAUCAGCAUGACGCGGUGAAUACGUUCCCGGGAAUUGUACACACCGCCCGUCAAACCAUGGGAAUCGGUAGCACUCGAAGUCGCUGGCCCAACUUUAUUGAGGGAAGCGCCGAAAGUGAGAUCGGUGACUGGGGUUAAGUCGUAACAAGGUA